rnacentral:rRNA from 1 species
UUAGAGUUUGAUUCCUGGCUCAGAUUGAACGCUGGCGGCAUGCCUUACACAUGCAAGUCGAACGGCAGCGCGGGAGCAAUCCUGGCGGCGAGUGGCGAACGGGUGAGUAAUACAUCGGAACGUGCCCAAUCGUGGGGGAUAACGCAGCGAAAGCUGUGCUAAUACCGCAUACGAUCUACGGAUGAAAGCAGGGGAUCGCAAGACCUUGCGCGAAUGGAGCGGCCGAUGGCAGAUUAGGUAGUUGGUGAGGUAAAGGCUCACCAAGCCUUCGAUCUGUAGCUGGUCUGAGAGGACGACCAGCCACACUGGGACUGAGACACGGCCCAGACUCCUACGGGAGGCAGCAGUGGGGAAUUUUGGACAAUGGGCGCAAGCCUGAUCCAGCCAUGCCGCGUGCAGGAUGAAGGCCUUCGGGUUGUAAACUGCUUUUGUACGGAACGAAACGGCCUUUUCUAAUAAAGAGGGCUAAUGACGGUACCGUAAGAAUAAGCACCGGCUAACUACG